rnacentral:rRNA from 1 species
CUACGGGAUGCUGCAGUGGGGAAUAUUGCACAAUGGGCGCAAGCCUGAUGCAGCCAUGCCGCGUGUAUGAAGAAGGCCUUCGGGUUGUAAAGUACUUUCAGCGGGGAGGAAGGGAGUAGAGUUAAUACCUUUGCUCAUUGACGUUACCCGCAGAAGAAGCACCGGCUAACUCCGUGCCAGCAGCCGCGGUAAUACGGAGGGUGCAAGCGUUAAUCGGAAUUACUGGGCGUAAAGCGCACGCAGGCGGUUUGUUAAGUCAGAUGUGAAAUCCCCGGGCUCAACCUGGGAACUGCAUCUGAUACUGGCAAGCUUGAGUCUCGUAGAGGGGGGUAGAAGUCCAGGUGUAGCGGUGAAAUGCGUAGAGAUCUGGAGGAAUACCGGUGGCGAAGGCGGCCCCCUGGACGAAGACUGACGCUCAGGUGCGAAAGCGUGGGGAGCAAACAGGAUUAGAUACCCUUGUAGUC